rnacentral:misc_RNA from 1 species
GAUGAAGAACGUAGCGAAAUGCGAUACGUAAUGUGAAUUGCAGAAUUCAGUGAAUCAUCGAAUCUUUGAACGCACAUUGCGCCCGUCAGUAUUCUGGCGGGCAUGCCUGUUCGAGCGUCAUUACGCCCCUCAAGUCCCCUGUGGACUUGGUGUUGGGGAUCGGCGAGGCUGGUUUUCCAGCACAGCCGUCCCUUAAAUUAAUUGGCGGUCUCGCCGUGGCCCUCCUCUGCGCAGUAGUAAAACACUCGCAACAGGAGCCCGGCGCGGUCCACUGCCGUAAAACCCCCCAUAUUUUUAUAGUUGACCUCGAAUCAGGUAGGACUACCCGCUGAACUUAAGCAUAUCAAUAAGCGGAGGA